rnacentral:rRNA from 1 species
CAGGCCUAACACAUGCAAGUCGAGCGGACUUAUCCUUCGGGAUAGGUUAGCGGCGGACGGGUGAGUAACACGUAGGCAACCUGCCUGUAAGAUCGGGAUAACUACCGGAAACGGUAGCUAAGACCGGAUAGCUGGUUUCUCCGCAUGGGGGAAUCAUGAAACACGGGGCAACCUGUGGCUUACGGAUGGGCCUGCGGCGCAUUAGCUAGUUGGUGGGGUAACGGCCCACCAAGGCGACGAUGCGUAGCCGACCUGAGAGGGUGAUCGGCCACACUGGAACUGAGACACGGCCCAGACUCCUACGGGAGGCAGCAGUAGGGAAUCUUCCGCAAUGGGCGCAAGCCUGACGGAGCAACGCCGCGUGAGUGAUGAAGGUUUUCGGAUCGUAAAGCUCUGUUGCCAAGGAAGAACGCCUCGGAGAGUAACUGCUCUGAGGGUGACGGUACUUGAGAAGAAAGCCCCGGCUAACUACGUGCCAGCAGCCGCGGUAAUACGUAGGGGGCAAGCGUUGUCCGGAAUUAUUGGGCGUAAAGCGCGCGCAGGCGGUCUUUUAAGUUUGGUGUUUAAGCCCGGGGCUCAACCCCGGUUCGCACUGAAAACUGGGAGACUUGAGUGCAGGAGAGGAAAGCGGAAUUCCACGUGUAGCGGUGAAAUGCGUAGAGAUGUGGAGGAACACCAGUGGCGAAGGCGGCUUUCUGGACUGUAACUGACGCUGAGGCGCGAAAGCGUGGGGAGCAAACAGGAUUAGAU